CCUACGGAGGUUCUGCCGUGCGUGUCAGGGCCCCAGGCAGGGCUGGGCCGUGCCAGCCCCACUAUCAGUGCGGACACCAGCACCAAGCAGGGGUCAGGCCCUGGUGGAGGUGGAUUUUCUUCACUGUGGCACAGUCCUGCUCAGUCUCUGGUCCUGAUGGAGGUGGUGGAGGCCCUGGUGGAGGUGGAUUUUCUUCACCGUGGCACAGUCCUGCUCAGUUCCUGGACUGCCCCCCUGCACCCAGCAGCACAGGCCGCAGAGCCCAGGAGAUGUGGGCAGGAGCCUUCCCCUCACCUGCCCCACUCCUGCCCACCCAGUGGGCACCCCGUAGAUGGGAGCAGCUCUCUGCCUAGCAUUUGGACUGCUGGGCUGAGUCAUGGCUGCAGGUGACGGCUUAGUGGCAUCUCCCAGGUGCCACUGCAGGGACAGCCUCUGUGUCUCCAGGCUGUGCUGUGGCCCUGUGGAGCCAAGCUUACCCAUGCCGCUGAGUCGGGGGCUGCAGAGGCCUGUGCGGGCUGCGGUGGCUGGACCUGGGCCUGCCUGCUCAGAUGCUGCUUGGAACCCUGCUCUCAGCCUGGAGGCUGGCAGGUCUGCCAGGGGCCAACGGGCAGGCAUCGCCGCUGCAGGAGGGCACAGCGUGCGGGACGCUGGCAACUCACAGCUGCCUCCCAGCCA
rnacentral:lncRNA from 1 species